ACGGGGGCAGCAGGCGCGAAAACUCCGCAAUACACGAAAGUGUGACGGGGGAACCCCGAGUGCACUCACGCAAGUGAGCGCUUUUGUGAAGUGUAAAUAGCUUUACGAAUAAGAGCUGGGUAAGACCGGUGCCAGCCGCCGCGGUAACACCGGCAGCUCGAGUGGUGAUCACUAUUAUUGGGCCUAAAGCGUCCGUAGCCGGUUUGGUAAGUCCUUGGGCAAAUCCUGUCGCUUAACGGCAGGAAUUCUGAGGAUACUGUCAGACUUGAGGCCGAGAGAGGUCGGAGGUACUUCUGGGGUAGCGGUGAAAUGCUAUAAUCCUAGAGGGACCACCGGUGGCGAAGGCGUCCGACUAGAGCGGGCCUGACGGUAAGGGACGAAAGCCAGGGGAGCGAACGGGAUUAGAUACCCCGGUAGUCCUGGCCGUAAACGCUGUGGGCUAGGUGUUGCAUGCUCUACGAGGGCGUGCAGUGCCGAAGAGAAGUUGAUAAGCCUACCGCCUGGGAAGUAUUAUCGCAAGAUAGAAACUUAAAGGAAUUGGCGGGGGAGCACCACAAGGGGUGAAGUCUGCGGUUCAAUUGGAUUCAACGCCGGAAAUCUCACUGGAAGCGACGGCAGAAUGACAGCCAAGCUGAUGACUUUGCUUGACGAGCUGAGAGGAGGUGCAUGGCCGUCGUCAGCUCGUACCGUAAGGCGUCCUGUUAAGUCAGGCAACGAGCGAGACCCGUGCCCUUAUUUGUCAGCUAGUCCCUGCGGG
rnacentral:rRNA from 1 species